rnacentral:rRNA from 1 species
AUGGAAAUCUGGCAAGUGGCAGCGGCAUACAGAUUGGCGAGAGGUGGGUUACCAGAAGGAGGCGACGUUAAAAUCAGUGCCAGUGACGACGAUGAUGGACACGAUGAGCUUGGUUGGCAGUGGCCGCCGCAACAGUGUUGUACUCGGAGCCCAUGCUAUCCGAGCUCGACAAUACGAACAGCUCAGUCCUUUUGCAGCCGUGUUCAUCGACAAGUUGUCCAUACAGUACCUUGGCAUCAACAACCACGGCCAUGA